rnacentral:lncRNA from 1 species
UUAGUAGUUGAUUGACUGGAUCAAUGUGGUAUUUACCUUAAGGUAUAACUGUAAAGACCCUCUAAGUUAUUUCCUCAAUUUGUGUGCAUUUUAAGCAUAUUGAGCCUUUCUACACGGACUAUAACUCAUUUAUGAAUUGUUGGAUUAUUCAGUUUGGUGAUCAAAUAUUUUAUUUGGAUUUUAGGCUCAUUUCCCUAUUUUAGAGCUUUUGUUGUUUAGGAUUUGGUCUCGG